rnacentral:lncRNA from 1 species
AUGUGGUUAUCUGGUGUUGUAGCUAUGUUUUUGUACCAUGUAAUUUGUAUUCCCUUUGUCCUCCGUAAGUACCUUGACUAUUCACAGCUACUGACCAGUGGGGUGACCCAUACUUCCAUUUCUAAAGAGUUGGGUCAUCAGUCAUCAGUCAUCUUGGGUGUGAUUUUUCCAUUGUCUUUCAAUUACAGGACAUGUGAGUACUGGGCAGUACCCCAGAAGACAUCAUGCAUUCCAAUUUCCCCUUUAUAUUCGGAUCAGAUUGAUGUAAUAAGCCUAUUUCCCCUGGAUACUUUCCUCUUUCAACAUGGCCCUAGGACAAGAUAUACUGAGCACAAGAAGGCACUUAUUAAAGAGAGAAGCCUAUUGUUUUUAAUUUCUAUCACCUGGACAAAUCUUUCACUAUUCCUAGCAUUCACCAAUAUGGUAAAUUCACACUUGCAGAAGGUACAGUAAAAGCAUAAACUCAGAUUGAUACUGAUCUUAAAGAAGCCCCAAAGGUUUUUAUUUGUUUCUGAAUCCACUUGUAUGUUCCAGGCCAAAACUUCGGAAGAGAAGGUUUAUCUUUGUUCAGUUCUACAUUUGGAUUUCAGAAAACCACAAGUGAAAGAGAUUCAGUGUUUGCUCCAAUGGGUUCUCCAUUGCUGUCUUUGUUUCUACAUGUUCUCUGUUUUACAUAUUAAGAUUACAACAGACCUCACGUCUUCAAAGUACCCAAAGAUGAAGCUAUAUGCUAGAACCAAGAAAGACAGAGGCUUCUGAAAACUAUGUUAUGGAGAAUGAAUUUUCAAUAUGUGGCAAAUUCUAUUCCAGAAGUAUCAGACAGAACUAUCAUAGCCUUUGCUUAUUAAGUCUCAAAUGUUUUAAGCUGAUUUCCAAAUCAAUAGUCACAG